GUACAUUUGAAAGCUAAAGCAACAUGCUGGCCUGUUAUUUUAUAUAAAAGAAAGCAUUCUUGCCAGCAACUUACUGCAACUUAUUUCUUACUCUAACUCCUUCUGGAAUGUGACUUGUCCAGCAAAGCAUAACAGCAGAGCUUUGAAGCAGAAGGAAAGAGAGGACUGAAAAAUGCUAAAAGCUGGAAGUCACAGAAAAUACGGUACAAAAGCCAAUGGCACAAUGUCUGCACAACCCAGAGGAUCAACAAGGCACAGAAAUAUUUUCUUGUGGUGCAGGGGUGAGCUGGAAGCAAUUAGGGAAAAAACAACCCCUCAGUGCUGCUUACACACAUUAAGCAACAGUCACGACUACGGCACAGUGAACGGGCGCCUGCCACGGCCGGCUGCCGUUGCCAAAGUGCUGCUCCAACAGUGGUUUGUGGAAGGAAGCCUAAGAGGGAUAAAUGUCUGCAGGAGCCCCAGGGACGUGCAACUGCCCUACAGACAUUAAAAAUAGCCAUGUGAAUUCCUGCUCUGACAACACGGCUAGUGGAAAGGUCCUUGGCCCCAGGGAUAGCUGGAGCCAUCGUUGUCAUUCAUAGCAUCUAGCAACUUCCAAUCUGACAUAAAAUCAUUCUUUGCCAAUGUGAAAUAUCUGCGGGUUAUGAUGCAUGCUGUUUCUUAUCUCUGAAGAUGUGAACGUGUGUUUCAGACAUACACAGCCAUACCCUGCUAUCUCUUAAGGGGACAGGAUGAAGAUGGUUAUUAUAUGAAGCAAGUCUCUCUUUCAAGGUUACUCCUCCCUACUCUGCCUAUGUUUUCUCUCUAACUGAAUGUAGACUGGAAGCACAUGGAGAAUAAUAAAUUAUGGAUAACAACUUUAAUUCAUAGCCCUCAUAACUGAGAACCCUCAGUAAUCUGCACUUACUCUCCUAUGCACCAGCAAACAAGCUAUAAAUCUUCUGAAUGUUGUUACUAAUAUGCCUCUCUUUUCCAGCAAUCACAAGCAAUGUCUCAAAAAAAUAGUUGCCUUGUUCACUCCCACAGUAUUGUGGAACAGUUUGAUAACCAUGGAUUUAGCAUUAGUGUUCAAACACAGUUUGAGUCUCAAGGAGAAUAGGAGGUUU